AAUGAAUAUAGCCAUGUGAAGGGCACUUUAUCAUCUCAAUAAAUAUAGCUAUGAUGACUACCUCAAAGGUACUGUAUCAUCUUGAUGAAUAUAGUCAUGAGAAGGGUACUUCAUCAUCUCGAUGAAUAUAGCCAUGAUGACUAUCUCGAAGGUACUUCAUCUUUGAAUGAAUAUAGCCAUGAGAAGGAUGCUUCAUUUGCUAACAUGAAUAUC
rnacentral:lncRNA from 1 species